CAGUCGCCGCGGUAAAACGGAGGGUGCAAGCGUUAAUCGGAAUUACUGGGCGUAAAGCGUGCGUAGGUGGUGGUUUAAGUCCGUUGUGAAAGCCCUGGGCUCAACCUGGGAAUUGCAGUGGAUACUGGGUCACUAGAGUGUGGUAGAGGAUAGUGGAAUUUCCGGUGUAGCAGUGAAAUGCGUAGAGAUCGGAAGGAACAUCUGUGGCGAAGGCGACUAUCUGGGCCAACACUGACACUGAGGCACGAAAGCGUGGGGAGCAAACAGGAUUAGAUACCCCAGUAGUCCCUGUCUCUUAUAC
rnacentral:rRNA from 1 species